AGUGAACGCUGGCGGUAGGCCUAACACAUGCAAGUCGAACGGCAGCACAGUAAGAGCUUGCUCUUACGGGUGGCGAGUGGCGGACGGGUGAGGAAUACAUCGGAAUCUACUUUUUCGUGGGGGAUAACGUAGGGAAACUUACGCUAAUACCGCAUACGACCUACGGGUGAAAGCAGGGGAUCUUCGGACCUUGCGCGAUUGAAUGAGCCAAUGUCGGAUUAGCUAGUUGGCGGGGUAAAGGCCCACCAAGGCGACGAACCGUAGCUGGUCUGAGAGGAUGAUCAGCCACACUGGAACUGAGACACGGUCCAGACUCCUACGGGAGGCAGCAGUGGGGAAUAUUGGACAGUGGGCGCAAGCCUGAUCCAGCCAUACCGCGUGGGUGAAGAAGGCCUUCGGGUUGUAAAGCCCUUUUGUUGGGAAAGAAAAGCAGCAGGUUAAUACCCCGCUGUUCUGACGGUACCCAAAGAAUAAGCACCGGCUAACUUCGU
rnacentral:rRNA from 1 species